AUGGUAAUUAGUUGUGUAUCUAGUCUUAAUUACAAUAUACAUAUCUUGAUGAAUAUGAAUUUGGUGCCCCUACUGUCAUAUGCAAGUACCAAUAUGGAUGAUCGUGAGUGGAUGUACACUGGCCACCCUAGUCAGGCUGGCAUGACCACUGAAUGGGUGACGAAGACCAAUGAAUUUGUAGAGGCAACAUUUGCUAGAGGCCAAAGAAAAAGUUGGUGCCCCUGCUUGAAGUGUGACAACGACAGAGAACAGGCGAAGAAGACGAUGUGUAGGCACCUGCAGAAGCAUGGGUUUAAGCGUGGGUAUACCCGGUGGACCCUUCAUGGCGAGCCUGAACGUAGCAGAGAGGAGGUGGUGCGUCGGCGAACCGACAACAAUGGUACCGAGAUCGUUGACAUUGUAGCUGACUUCAACGAUGCACGUGAAGAGGGAUCAGAGGAAGAACCAGAGGAGUCUGCGAGGGCCUUCUUAGAAAUGUUGAAUUCCUCAGAACAACCUCUUCACGACCACACAAACCAAUGUUAG
rnacentral:rRNA from 1 species